rnacentral:rRNA from 1 species
AUGAGGCAACUCAUAAAGCUUGAAUCGCUAGAACUGGGCUUCUGCCAUAGCAUAUCCGUUGUGCCACAGUGGCUAGGCGAAUUGACCUCUCUCAAGAAACUUUGGAUAUCUAACAAUGGAUGCUUGAGGUCUUUGCCGGCAAGCAUCCAACAACUCACCAGCCUCCAGGAAAUAGUACUUUUUAACUGCGAUGCAUUACAGCACGUGGUUGCUGAAACAGAGGGAAAGAUGAAGCUGGCUGACAACCAACAAAGGGAAUCUGCUCUGCCCACCUCUCUAAAGAGUCUUUAUCUGACUGGAUGUGAUGGUAUCAAGUCUUUUCCUGAGGGAAUACAUCAACUCACUAACCUACAACACCUAGAAAUAAUUAGCUGCCCUGGACUAAAGGAAUGGUGUGAAUUAGAGGAGACCAAGACCUUUCUGGCUCGCAUAGAAAAGAAGAGGAUUGAGUUCUAG